AUCCAGUUGACAAGUUCCAAAUAGAACGAAACGCGCUUCAUGGAU
rfam:Schistosoma mattheei strain Denwood, Zambia genome assembly, scaffold: SMTD_scaffold0008693